AGCUUUGUGCAGUGGCAGUAUCGUAGCCAAUGAGGUUUAUCAGAGGCACGAUUAUUGCUAAUUGAAAACAAAGGGCUUCUUGUAAUCAGUUUGGAAUGCCUUCCUCUCGGGGAAGUCCUCACUUUUACAAUUCUACACUAUAGA